rnacentral:rRNA from 1 species
GUAGCGGCGAGCGAAACGGGAAGAGCCCAAACCAACAAGCUUGCUUGUUGGGGUUGUAGGACUCCGAUAUGGUAGUCUGUUAGUAUAGUUGAAGGAUUUGGAAAAUUCCGCUAAAGAGGGUGAAAGCCCCGUAGACGAAAUGCUGACAACACCUAGGAGGAUCCUGAGUACGGCGGAACACGAGAAAUUCCGUCGGAAUCCGCGGGGACCAUCCCGCAAGGCUAAAUACUCCCUAGUGACCGAUAGUGAACCAGUACCGUGAGGGAAAGGUGAAAAGCACCCCGGAAGGGGAGUGAAAUAGAUCCUGAAACCGUGUGCCUACAACAAGUCAAAGCUCGUUAAUGAGUGAUGGCGUGCCUUUUGUAGAAUGAACCGGCGAGUUACGAUUGCAUGCGAGGUUAAGUCGAAGAGACGGAGCCGCAGCGAAAGCGAGUCUGAAUAGGGCGAAUGAGUAUGUAGUCGUAGACCCGAAACCAUGUGAUCUACCCAUGUCCAGGUUGAAGGUGCGGUAAAACGCACUGGAGGACCGAACCCACGUACGUUGAAAAGUGCGGGGAUGAGGUGUGGGUAGCGGAGAAAUUCCAAACGAGCUUGGAGAUAGC